rnacentral:piRNA from 1 species
UUUUCUUGACUCGAAUUCUUC